UACGAAGGGGGCUAGCGUUGCUCGGAAUGACUGGGCGUAAAGGGCGCGUAGGCGGAUGUUACAGUCAGGCGUGAAAUUCCUGGGCUCAACCUGGGGGCUGCGUUUGAUACGUGAUGUCUGGAGUUCGGAAGAGGGUCGUGGAAUUCCCAGUGUAGAGGUGAAAUUCGUAGAUAUUGGGAAGAAUACCGAUGGCGAAGGCAGGUCUCUGGGCUGACACUGACGCUCAUGCACGAAAGCGUGGGGAGCAAACAGG
rnacentral:rRNA from 1 species